rnacentral:rRNA from 1 species
UACGUAGGGUGCAAGCGUUGUCCCGGAAUUAUUGGGCGUAAAGAGCUCGUAGGCGGUCUGUCGCGUCUGCUGUGAAAACUGGAGGCUCAACCUCCAGCCUGCAGUGGGUACGGGCAGACUAGAGUGCGGUAGGGGAGACUGGAAUUCCUGGUGUAGCGGUGAAAUGCGCAGAUAUCAGGAGGAACACCGGUGGCGAAGGCGGGUCUCUGGGCCGAUACUGACGUGGAGGAGCGAAGGCGUGGGGGAGCGAACAGG